GACGAACGCUGGCGGCGUGCUUAACACAUGCAAGUCGAACGGAAAGGCCCUGCUUUUGUGGGGUGCUCGAGUGGCGAACGGGUGAGUAACACGUGAGUAACCUGCCCUUGACUUUGGGAUAACUUCAGGAAACUGGGGCUAAUACCGGAUAGGAGCUCCUGCUGCAUGGUGGGGGUUGGAAAGUUUCGGCGGUUGGGGAUGGACUGGCGGCUUAUCAGCUUGUUGGUGGGGUAGUGGCUUACCAAGGCUUUGACGGGUAGCCGGCCUGAGAGGGUGACCGGCCACAUUGGGACUGAGAUACGGCGCAGACUCCUACGGGAGGCAGUAGUGGGGAAUAUUGCACAAUGGGCGGAAGCCUGAUGCAGCAACGCCGCGUGCGGGAUGACGGCCUUCGGGUUGUAAACCGCUUUCGCCUGUGACGAAGCGUGAGUGACGGUAAUGGGUAAAGAAGCACCGGCUAACUACGUG
rnacentral:rRNA from 1 species